GAGCCAUUAGCUCAGUUGGCAGAGCACUUGACUUUUAAUCAAGGUGCCCGGGGUUCGAGUCCCCGAUGGCUCACCA
rnacentral:tRNA from 1 species